GCACCACAAGAACGCGUGGAGCAUGUGGCUUAAUUUGACUCAACGCGGGAAAUCUUACCGGGUCCGGACACACUGAGGAUUGACAGGCAAUAUCUCAUGGUUAUUAACCCGGUUAUUACAUUUUGUUUAAUCGGUUAUUAAGCAUCGAGUGUUAAAUAUGCUAGUCCUUUCAUGAUUAUGUGAUAGGUGGUGCAUGGCCGUUCUUAGUUCGUGGAGUGAUCUGUCUGCUUAAUUGCGUUUCACUAAGGGCCCAUAAAUUCAAGGUAUGUUAGCUAUCGUCGCUCUAUGGACCCCUUAUACUCGAUUUCGCUUUAAUUAGCGUUAUUUGUUUAAUAAGCGCGCGUCUUUAUUUAAUGAGUUUAAGACACUGCGCAUGCUGUUGGGCUCUGAAAGCAACGAACGUGACCGCAACGUCUUGUUGCCUUAAUAAAGUUGGCUUUUAAUACAAUUCCCCGAAUUCGUAUUUAAACCGCUUACAGAGGCUAUUUAAAACUAGACGGACCGCUGUUUCUUUUCUUAAACCAGAGGAAGGUUGCGGCAAUAACAGGUCUGUGAUGC
rnacentral:rRNA from 1 species